AGUGAACGCUGGCGGUAGGCCUAACACAUGCAAGUCGAACGGCAGCACAGUAAGAGCUUGCUCUUACGGGUGGCGAGUGGCGGACGGGUGAGGAAUACAUCGGAAUCUACUUUUUCGUGGGGGAUAACGUAGGGAAACUUACGCUAAUACCGCAUACGACCUACGGGUGAAAGCAGGGGAUCUUCGGACCUUGCGCGAUUGAAUGAGCCGAUGUCGGAUUAGCUAAUUGGCGGGGUAAAGGCCCACCAAGGCGACGAUCCGUAGCUGGUCUGAGAGGAUGAUCAGCCACACUGGAACUGAGACACGGUCCAGACUCCUACGGGAGGCAGCAGUGGGGAAUAUUGGACAAUGGGCGCAAGCCUGAUCCAGCCAUACCGCGUGGGUGAAGAAGACCUUCGGGUUGUAAAGCCCUUUUGUUGGGAAAGAAAAGCAGCAGGUUAAUACCCCGCUGUUCUGACGGUACCCAAAGAAUAAGCACCGGCUAACUUCGUG
rnacentral:rRNA from 1 species